UGAGUGUGGUGUAGUGGUUUAAGCAUUAGACUAUGACUCUGAAGACCAGGGUUCAAAUCAUUGCUCAG